CAGAACGAACGCUGGCGGCGCGUUUUAAGCAUGCAAGUCGAGCGGCAAGGGCCUUCGGGCCCCUAGAGCGCGGCGGGUGAGUAACACGUGGACAAUCUGCCCCCCGGCCGGGGAUAGCCCAGGGAAACCUGGAUUAAUACCGGAUGAGACGGGACCCGCGAUGGCGGGAUCCGGGAAAGGCGCUACGG
rnacentral:rRNA from 1 species